UGCAAAAUGCAACAUUUGUUAACUUUGAAGCUUUCAUUCAACUUUCAAAUUUUAAUUUCGAUCGUACUGGUCACCCCUGCACACUCACACACACACACACCGCACACACGAUAUGCAAUGGUAAGAAUUAAAACAGGUGGCGGGACGUGUACACUCGAAGUCCUCACGUCAACCGCCCCGCCAAAGAAAAGUAAUCAUAGAGUUGAUACUUACUACGAAUGAAGAAAGCGAAUGCUUUUUACCUUGUUACCAACUAACGCGAGAUACCCAGAAUUUAGUUUAAAUACGAACCAGUGCAAUACUUCAUCUGCGAGUAGUAAACUUACCCGUUUUCAUCAACAACGUAUAACGUUGAACGUACAUCUGCAUACGUACGAUUUUUUAUAAACGAAAACGAAGAAUUGGUGUUAAUAGAUUUAUUUUGCAGUUGAAGAAUUCCUAAUGCAAGUAAAAUGUCGCGAGGUUUCUUUCAAAGCUUACGAAUUUUUCACUCUGAAUCUUCACCUUAUAUGCAAAGUAUUCGGAUUGACCAUAACGUAUUUCAUCGUACUAAUGCAAUUCCAAGCAUCACACGCAAACUAGAUACAAAAUAUAGUAAAAGGGAAAAAUUAAACCAUACGGAUAAAAUUUUUCAACGAAUAACUGAUAUUUUUUUCUCUAUCUUUUAAUAUAAAUUAUAUAAAAACGUCGAAAGAAUUCGAUUAUUAAAAUAAAGAAUUGCGUUAUUAAAAUUCAUAGCACGUUUGAAAAUAUUUCAAAACCAUCGUGGUACGGAGCAGGUGCCCUGUGACUACGAGCCGGAGCCGGAGCCGGAGCAGGAGUGGUGGGCAAGGCAAAUUUACAUGCCACCGAAAAACUUCGAUUACAUCGAAAUUACCUGCCAGUCGAGCCGAAUAGUUGCAAAUUCGCGCCAAUAAAAUGUAAAUUUUAUAUUAAACUUUGAUAGAAUCAAAGCAAACCCCAAUAAUAAAUACGAAUUUUCAAUAUCAACAUAUAAAAAGCGCCGUCAGCAAUGAUGUAAAUAUUUAACGGCGGUAUUUCGAUAUAGCUAGCGUGUUUUUUCCUCCAUAUUCGAUGCGCUUAUACAGAGCGAGAAAAAAAAUAACACUAGGGAUAGGAAAGUAAACCAUAAUAUAAAAGCAGCGCGAAGAAAACAAAAACAAAAACACACGUAAUUUCGCCUUGUGACAGAAAAUUUAAACUUGUUCAUUUCAUUUUGAUGACAAGCGAUGUAAUCUAUUUAGAAAGUUAAGAACUUGCUGUAAACUUUCAUUUCCCUGGUGAACGACGCAAAACGACGAAGGCGGAUGUAUGAAAAGUGGUUAUUUUUAAAUGCUUUUUUCGCACCUCGAUAGAUACAUUUAUAAUCCGUAAAUGUAACGUUGUUUCAUACUCGCGAAUGUGAUUUUCAUGAAUGUAGGUACUUGUAAGACGUGUACGUUACUUGAAAUUAAAACCAAUUCAAUUAUACUAUUGCGGAGG